UGGAUCCAGACUUUGAUCCUGGCUCAGGACGAACGCUGGCGGCGUGCCUAACACAUGCAAGUCGAACGGGGAUACGCGCUGAAUGGAUGGAGCUUGCUUUUGAAAUUCUUGUGUAUCCUAGUGGCGGACGGGUGAGUAACGCGUGAGCAACCUGCCUUUCAGAGGGGGAUAACGUCUGGAAACGGACGCUAAUACCGCAUGAGACCACGGUACUACAUGGUACAGUGGCCAAAGGAGCAAUCCGCUGAAAGAUGGGCUCGCGUCCGAUUAGGUAGUUGGCGGGGUAACGGCCCACCAAGCCGACGAUCGGUAGCCGGACUGAGAGGUUGGACGGCCACAUUGGGACUGAGACACGGCCCAGACUCCUACGGGAGGCAGCAGUGAGGGAUAUUGGUCAAUGGGGGCAACCCUGAACCAGCAACGCCGCGUGAGGGAAGACGGUUUUCGGAUUGUAAACCUCUGUCCUCUGUGAAGAUAAUGACGGUAGCAGAGGAGGAAGCUCCGGCUAACUACGUGCCAGCAGCCGCGGUAAUACGUAGGGAGCGAGCGUUGUCCGGAUUUACUGGGUGUAAAGGGUGCGUAGGCGGCCUUGCAAGUCAGAAGUGAAAUCCAUGGGCUUAACCCGUGAACGGCUUUUGAAACUGUAGGGCUUGAGUGAAGUAGAGGUAGGCGGAAUUCCCGGUGUAGCGGUGAAAUGCGUAGAGAUCGGGAGGAACACCAGUGGCGAAGGCGGCCUACUGGGCUUUAACUGACGCUGAAGCACGAAAGCGUGGGUAGCAAACAGGAUUAGAUACCCUGGUAGUCCACGCCGUAAACGAUGAUUACUAGGUGUGGGGGGUCUGACCCCCUCCGUGCCGGAGUUAACACAAUAAGUAAUCCACCUGGGGAGUACGGCCGCAAGGCUGCAACUCAAAGGAAUUGACGGA
rnacentral:rRNA from 1 species